GAGAGGGAGAGAGAGAGAUGGAUGGGAGAGAGAGAGAGAUGGAUGGGAGGGAGAGAGAGAGAGAGAUGGAUGGGAGGGAGAGAGAGAGAGAGAGAUGGAUGGGAGGGAGAGAGAGAGAGAUGGAUGGAGAGAGAGAGAGAUGGAUGGGAGGGAGAGAGAGAGAGAUGGAUGGAGGGAGAGAGAGAGAUGGAUGGGAGAGAGAGAGAUGGAUGGGAGAGAGAAAGAGAUGGAUGGGAGAGAGAGAGAUGGAUGAGAGAAGAGAGAUGGAUGGGAGAGAGAGAGAUGGAUGGAAGGGAGAGAUGGAUGGGAGAGGGAGAGAGAGAUGGAUGGGAGGGAGAGAG
ensembl:lncRNA